GGCCGCGGGAAUUCGAUUCAGGCCUAACACAUGCAAGUCGAGCGAUUCUCUUCGGAGAAGAGCGGCGGACGGGUGAGUAACGCGUGGGUAACCUGCCCUGUACACACGGAUAACAUACCGAAAGGUAUGCUAAUACGAGAUAAUAUGCUUUUAUCGCAUGGUAGAAGUAUCAAAGCUCCGGCGGUACAGGAUGGACCCGCGUCUGAUUAGCUAGUUGGUGAGGUAACGGCUCACCAAGGCGACGAUCAGUAGCCGACCUGAGAGGGUGAUCGGCCACAUUGGAACUGAGACACGGUCCAAACUCCUACGGGAGGCAGCAGUGGGGAAUAUUGCACAAGGGGCGAAAGCCUGAUGCAGCAACGCCGCGUGAGCGAUAGAGGCCUUCGGGUCGUAAAGCUCUGUCCUCAAGGAAGAUAAUGAC
rnacentral:rRNA from 1 species